rnacentral:rRNA from 1 species
UGUGUAGGUGGUUGAAUCAGUUCACUGUGAAAGUUCCGGGCUUAACCUGGAAAGGCCGGUGGAUACUGUUUAACUAGAGGACAGGAGAGGGCAGAGGAAUUUCCGGUGUAGCGGUGAAAUGCGUAGAUAUCGGAAGGAACACCAGUAGCGAAGGCGUCUGUCUGGCCUGGCCCUGACACUGAGACACGAAGGCGUGGGUAGCGAACA